GCCCAGCUAGCUCAGUUGGUAGAGCAUGAGACUCUUAAUCUCAGGGUUGUGGGUUCGAUCCCCACGUUGGGCG
rfam:Equus caballus chromosome 10, whole genome shotgun sequence.